GUAGGGGGCGAGCGUUGUCCGAAUUUACUGGGCGUAAAGCGCGUGUAGGCGGUCCUUUAAGUCAGGUGUGAAAUCCUGUGGCUCAACCACAGAACUGCACUUGAAACUGAAGGGCUUGAGUGUGGGAGAGGAAAGUGGAAUUCCUGGUGUAGCGGUGAAAUGCGUAGAUAUCAGGAGGAACACCCGUGGCGAAGGCGGCUUUCUGGCCCACCACUGACGCUGAGACGCGAAAGCUAGGGGAGCGAACGGGAUUAGAUACCCCGGUAGUCCUAGCCGUAACCGAUGGAUACUAGGUGUUAGAGGUAUCGACCCCUCUAGUGCCGUAGCUAACGCAUUAAGUAUCCCGCCUGGGGAGUACGGCCGCAAGGUUG
rnacentral:rRNA from 1 species